UUAUUGUUUGAAAAUUGAUAUUUGCAAUGUACUCAAAAUACCCAAAAAAAAAAUCCAAUUGAUUUUUAUUAUUGCGACAAAAUAGUACAAAAUAAAGUCAUAGAGCCAUUGUGCCAUGGCUUGUCCUUUGGAUCCAUACUGAAAUAGUUAUUUAAAUAAUUUGCUCAUAAUCAGGAGUCCUUUAAUGAUGAUCAUUAAUAAGUUUGGCUCAGUUGAUAAAUUGUCACUUUAAGUUGCACUUAUUUACCUACUAUUACUGCCAACCUUUACUGUCCCUGUCUCAGCGAGCUUUGAGACUAACAUAACACUUUUCGAUCUGCAGAGCAAUGUGAAAAGGAUAA
rnacentral:misc_RNA from 1 species